rnacentral:rRNA from 1 species
AGCAGCCGCGGUAAUACGGAGGGUGCGAGCGUUAAUCGGAAUUACUGGGCGUAAAGGGUGCGUAGGUGGUUGAAUAAGUUAUCUGUGAAAUCCCUGGGCUCAACCUGGGAAGGUCAGAUAAGACUGUUUGACUCGAGUAUGGGAGAGGGUAGUGGAAUUUCCGGUGUAGCGGUGAAAUGCGUAGAGAUCGGAAGGAACACCAGUGGCGAAGGCGGCUACCUGGCCUAAUACUGACACUGAAGCACGAAAGCGUGGGGAGCAAACAGGAUUAGAUACCCUGGUAGUCCACGCCGUAAACGAUGUCAACUAGCUGUUGGA